GACGAACGCUGGCGGCGUGCUUAACACAUGCAAGUCGAACGGAAAGGCCCUGCUUUUGUGGGGUGCUCGAGUGGCGAACGGGUGAGUAACACGUGAGUAACCUGCCCUUGACUUUGGGAUAACUUCAGGAAACUGGGGCUAAUACCGGAUAGUAGCUCCUGCUGCAUGGUGGGGGUUGGAAAGUUUCGGCGGUUGGGGAUGGACUCGCGGCUUAUCAGCUUGUUGGUGGGGUAGUGGCUUACCAAGGCUUUGACGGGUAGCCGGCCUGAGAGGGUGACCGGCCACAUUGGGACUGAGAUACGGCCCAGACUCAUACGGGAGGCAGAAGUGGGGAAUAUUGCACAAUGGGCGGAAGCCUGAUGCAGCAACGCCGCGUGCGGGAUGACGGCCUUCGGGUUGUAAACCGCUUUCGCCUGUGACGAAGCGUGAGUGACGGUAAUGGGUAAAGAAGCACCGGCUAACUACGUG
rnacentral:rRNA from 1 species